GUUAUUCAUCAUAAUUUUGAUGCACAAUCAUAUAUAUGUUAGCAAAGAAGUAUCCAGUGAUAUGUGCUAAGUAAAAAAGCCUAUACUUGCAAGGAAUUAUUUUCCCCAAGAUGAUUUAGCAUGUCAAAAUUGGGCUGUGCUUGUGACAAAGCCAUCUCGAUGUACACUUUGUGUUUUGAGUACAUCUAGAUAAGAUGCACCACUUAAAUAAUCAAGGGUAAGAUUACCAACGGUAGAAAGGGAGAUGAGUUUGUUCUAUUAAGUUUUUUGUUCAUUCUAUUUUGAUAAAACAAUUACAAGAAGUUUAUUCCGAAAAGCUAAAUUAUAUUAUUAUAACUGUUGAUGAUUAUUUCCCUAGCAGCAAAAAAUCUCAUCAACUUCUUUAUUUGUUGAAACUCAACCAAGGUCAGAGGAAUGAGUUCAAUGCCCACUGCUAUUUGAUAAAACACACACAGCUGAUGGAUGGAAGCACACGGAGGCCGCGGGCUAUUGCAAUGCCACAUGACAACAACUUGAGUUCAUCGCCAAGGUAACUUUCCUCCCCGGCAUUGAGUUUUUUUAGAAAAAUUGCAGCCGCAGACCUAUAGCAAUUAUGAUUGUACAUUCUAUAACUAUGUAUUUCAAAAUUUAGUAUUAGUAGCAGACAAUGCUAAAAGGUCAAGUAUGAUUCGAAAGUUCUCUGUCUAGAGCAUCAGGCACAUUCAACGUUGAGCAUCAGGUACAUGGCUGAAUUCUGUAAGUAUUAUCAGAGUUACAAACGUCACAUAUCAGAUUUUAUUAGCCUCUGUGUGGAGCCAUGCCACUUGUAUUUUUUCGUGGCCAAACUGAAUACACCAUGCGAUGUGUCUCAUCCACCAGUUUAGUUUUGAUCUUCUUAUACAUGUAUAGGUUUUAGAUAAGUUGAGAAAUCAGAGGUGAAUAUAUGACUGAAUCUAACCAUGUGAUGGUGUUUCUGCUGGCUUUUAAGAUUGCCACUAAUAGGCCUGAGCGUCUCCAUGCCUACUGCUUCUAUCUUCUUAUUUAGAGCUCAUAUGUGUUGGUGAUCCUUUUUUAUAUUCAAUGGAUAUGAGGACAGUCUGCUGACCAAGUCCAAUG